UACGUAGGGUGCGAGCGUUGUCCGGAAUUAUUGGGCGUAAAGGGCUCGUAGGCGGUUUGUCGCGUCGGGAGUGAAAAUCCAGGGCUUAACUCUGGACUGGCUUCCGAUACGGGCAGACUAGAGGUAUGCAGGGGAGAACGGAAUUCCUGGUGUAGCGGUGAAAUGCGCAGAUAUCAGGAGGAACACCGGUGGCGAAGGCGGGUCUCUGGGCAGUGAACUGACGCUGAGGAGCGAAAGCGUGGGGGAGCGAACAGG
rnacentral:rRNA from 1 species